rnacentral:rRNA from 1 species
GCCUAGCCAUAAACUUAGAUAGCAGUAUACCACCUAUCCGCCAGAGAACUACAAGCAAAAUACUUAAAACUCAAAGGACUUGGCGGCAUUCCAUAUCAACCUAGAGGAGCCCGUCCAAUAAUCGACACUACUCGCUCAACCCAACCAUUUUUGGCCACUCCAGCCUAUAUACCGCCGUCGCCAGCUAACCUUGUGAAAGAAAAGAAGUAAGCACAAUAGCCCUCACUAAAACGUCAGGUCAAGGUGUAGCUAAUAAAAUGGAUGUGAUAGGCUACAUUUUCUACUAUAGAAAAAACGGAAAAUACAAUGAAACUUUGUAAUAGAAGGUGAAUUUAGAAGUAAACUAAGAAAGAGUCCUUAUUUUAACAUCGCCCUGGAAUGCGCACACACCGCCCGUCACCCUCCUCAAACAACCUAGAUGAGGCAAGUCGUAACAUGGUAAGCGUACUGGAAAGUGCGCUUGGACUA